rnacentral:rRNA from 1 species
UACGAAGGGGGCUAGCGUUGCUCGGAAUUACUGGGCGUAAAGCGCACGUAGGCGGAUCUUUAAGUCAGGGGUGAAAUCCUGGAGCUCAACUCCAGAACUGCCUUUGAUACUGAGGACCUUGAGUUCGGGAGAGGGAAGUGGAAUUUCAGGUGUAGCGGUGAAAUGCGUAGAUAUCUGAAGGAACAUCAGUGGCGAAAGCGACUUCCUGGACCAGAACUGACGAUCAGGCACGAAAGCGUGGGGAGCAAACAGG